CCUACGGGGUCUGCAGUGGGGAAUAUUGGACAAUGGGCGAAAGCCUGAUCCAGCCAUGCCGCGUGUGUGAAGAAGGCCUUCGGGUUGUAAAGCACUUUCAGUGGGGAAGAAAGCCUUGGGGCUAAUACCCUCGAGGAAGGACAUCACCCACAGAAGAAGCACCGGCUAACUCCGUGCCAGCAGCCGCGGUAAUACGGAGGGUGCGAGCGUUAAUCGGAAUUACUGGGCGUAAAGCGCGCGUAGGCGGUCUGAUAAGCCGGUUGUGAAAGCCCCGGGCUCAACCUGGGAACGGCAUCCGGAACUGUCAGGCUAGAGUGCAGGAGAGGAAGGUAGAAUUCCCGGUGUAGCGGUGAAAUGCGUAGAGAUCGGGAGGAAUACCAGUGGCGAAGGCGGCCUUCUGGACUGACACUGACGCUGAGGUGCGAAAGCGUGGGUAGCAAACAGGAUUAGAUACCCUGGUAGUC
rnacentral:rRNA from 1 species